rnacentral:rRNA from 1 species
UCGCCUUUGGAGGGGCCCGCGUCGGAUUAGGUAGUUGGUGGGGUAACGGCCUACCAAGCCGACGAUCCGUAGCUGGUCUGAGAGGAUGAUCAGCCACACUGGGACUGAGACACGGCCCAG